GCCAGUAUCACGGGGUGCCUGUUUAUAGGUUAUAGGCUGAGAAAAAACCCGCAAUACCUGAUCCGGGUGAUGCCGGCGUAGGGAUGAUAUCAGCGCUUCUG
rnacentral:ncRNA from 2 species